UUCCAAUCUAUCUUAGAUUCC
rnacentral:piRNA from 1 species